rnacentral:rRNA from 1 species
CAAACUGGAGAUGGCGACCGGCGCACGGGUGAGUAACACGUAUCCAACCUGCCGAUAACUCGGGGAUAGCCUUUCGAAAGAAAGAUUAAUACCCGAUGGCAUAAUAGAACCGCAUGGUUUGAUUAUUAAAGAAUUUCGGUUACCGAUGGGGAUGCGUUCCAUUAGGCAGUUGGUGGGGUAAUGGCCCACCAAACCUUCGAUGGAUAGGGGUUCUGAGAGGAAGGUCCCCCACAUUGGAACUGAGACACGGUCCAAACUCCUACGGGAGGCAGCAUG